GUUGUUAGAGGAAGAAAAAGAAGAAUCAACAGAAGAAAUGGAGAGGGACUUAAAACUAAAGAAAGGUAGAGGACGUCCUCCAAAAAGGAACAGGGAGCCAGAAAAAAUCAAAGUACCAGGCAGAGGGCAUGGGCGCCCACCAAAAUCUACAACAUCAAAUAGUCUAAACAUGACAUCAGCAGCAAAUGAUUCAGAGGAUGAAGUCAUUCCAAGUAGCAGAAGUCCUUCUAACAGUCACUCACCAAGCAGCAUGUUAUUGCCAAC